rnacentral:rRNA from 1 species
AACGAACGCUGGCGGCAGGCUUAACACAUGCAAGUCGAACGGGUGUAGCAAUACAUCAGUGGCAGACGGGUGAGUAACACGUGGGAACCUUCCUAGGGGUACGGAACAACUCAGGGAAACUUGAGCUAAUACCGUAUACGUCCGUAAGGAGAAAGAUUCAUCGCCCCUAGACGGGCCCGCGUCGGAUUAGGUAGUUGGUGGGGUAACGGCCUACCAAGCCUACGAUCCGUAGCUGAUCUGAGAGGAUGAUCAGCCACACUGGGACUGAGACACGGCCCAGACUCCUACGGGAGGCAGCAGUGGGGAAUCUUGGACAAUGGGCGCAAGCCUGAUCCAGCCAUGCCGCGUGAGUGAAGAAGGCCUUAGGU